rnacentral:rRNA from 1 species
UUAGCUCAGCUGGCUAGAGCGCCUGCCUUGCACGCAGGAGGUCAACGGUUCGACUCCGUUAUUCUCCACCAUCACCGGUACUUAAGAUAGAAGGUACAGAAAUAGGGUUCAGGAAUGAACUCCGGGAUAGAAAAGUUCUUUGACAUAUUGGAAGAAGUUAAAAAAGAAGAGCAAACAACAAUAGAGACGUUGUUAGCUUUGAGGAAUGAAAUGAGUAAGCAAUUACAAAUAGAAAUCCGAAAGAGAUAACAACCAUCAAAAAAAGCAUUUCCAUAGGCGCAAAAGGCUAUGGAGAGAAGAAAGUAAAUAAGAGCACACAGGGGAUGCCUUGGCUCUCAGAGGCGAUGAAGGACGUGAUAAGCUGCGAUAAGCACUGGGGAUUAGCAAAUAUGAAUUGAUCCGGUGAUUUCCGAAUGGGGAAACCUGGCUAGUUGAAGACUAGUCGUAUAAUACGCAAACCUGCCGAACUGAAACAUCUAAGUAAGCAGAGGAAGAGAAAAUAAUAAUGAUUUCCUAAGUAGUGGCGAGCGAACGGGAAAGAGCCCAAACCAUAUUUGUUACGGCAAAUGUGGGGUUGUAGGACUACGAUAUGAUUAUAAUGCAAUGAAGUGGAACAGGAUGGGAAGCCUGGCAACAUAGAGUGAGAGCCUCGUACACGUAAGUACCAUUAGUCUAGUAGUAUCCUGAGUACCGCGAGGUCGGAGACGCCUUGUGGGAAUCUGCCGGCACCAUCCGGUAAGGCUAAAUACUCCUGAGAGACCGAUAGUGAACCAGUACCGUGAGGGAAAGGUGAAAAGAACCCCGAACAGGGGAGUGAAAUAGAACCUGAAACUGUGUGCUUACAAGCGGUCGGAGCGUCCAGGUGGCGUGACGGCGUGCCUUUUGCAUAAUGAGCCUACGAGUUACUCUUCUCUGGCAAGGUUAAGUGUUUAAGACACGGAUCCGAAGCGAAAGCGAGUCUGACUAGGGCGUAUAGUCAGGGGAGGUAGACGCGAAACCUUGUGAUCUACCCAUGGACAGGUUGAAGGUGCGGUAACACGUACUGGAGGACCGAACCGAUAAACGUUGAAAAGUUUCCGGAUGAUCUGUGGGUAGGGGUGAAAGGCUAAUCAAACUGGGAAAUAGCUCGUACUCCCCGAAAUGUUUUUAGGAACAGCGUGGAUAUAAAGUUAUAUAGAGGUAGAGCUACUGAUUGGGUGCGGGGGAGUCAAAUCCUACCAAAUCCAGACAAACUCCGAAUGCUAUAUAAUAUGAUCUGCAGUGAGGCCCGGGGUGCUAAGGUCACGGGCCGAGAGGGAAAGAACCCAGACCAUCAGCUAAGGUCCCCAAGUUAUAGUUAAGUUGAACUAACGAGGUCCGAUUGCAUAGACAGCUAGGAUGUUGGCUUGGAAGCAGCCAUUCAUUUAAAGAGUGCGUAACAGCUCACUAGUCGAGCGAUCGGGCAUGGAUAAUAAACGGGCAUUAAACUAUACACCGAAGCUAUGGGUAAUAUUAAUAUUACGGUAGGGGAGCAUUCCAGCGGCAGCGAAGUUAUGACGUAAGUUGUGGUGGAGCUUCUGGAAAAGCAAAUGUAGGCAUAAGUAACGAUAAGGCGGGCGAGAAACCCGCCCACCGAAAGGAUAAGGUUUCCUGAUCAACGCUAAUCGGAUCAGGGUUAGUCGGGGCCUAAGGAGAACCCGAAAGGGAUAUUCGAUGGACAACGGGUUAAUAUUCCCGUACUUUUUAUAACUGCGAUGUGGUGACGGAGUAGUGACACUACCGCGAUCUGACGGAAUAGAUCGUUGAAGACAGUAGGUAUUGGUCUGGUAGGCAAAUCCGCCGGACUAGCUGAAAGUCGAUAGUACCGCGAACCUUCGGGUAAGUGGAUAGUGUAGGUAAUCAGACUUCCAAGAAAACCCGCUAAGCUUCAGGUUAUAAAAACCCGUACCGCAAACCGACACAGGUAUCCGGGAAGAGAAUUCUAAGGUGCUCGAGUGAAUCAUGGCUAAGGAACUCGGCAAAAUGGCCCUGUAACUUCGGGAGAAGGGGCGCUGGUAGCAAUAUCAGCCGCAGUGAAAAGGCCCAGGCGACUGUUUAACAAAAACACAUGGCUUUGCAAAAUCGAAAGAUGAAGUAUAAAGCCUGACACCUGCCCGGUGCUGGAAGGUUAAGAGGGGAUGUUAGUCGCAAGGCGAAGCAUUGAAUCGAAGCCCCAGUAAACGGCGGCCGUAACUAUAACGGUCCUAAGGUAGCGAAAUUCCUUGUCGGGUAAGUUCCGACCUGCACGAAUGGUGUAACGAUCUGGGCGCUGUCUCAGCCAUGAGCUCGGUGAAAUUGUGGUCCCGGUGAAGACGCCGGGUACCCGCAACGGGACGGAAAGACCCCAUGCACCUUCACUACAAUUUAACAUUGACAUUGGAUACAGGAUGUGUAGGAUAGGUGGGAGACUAUGAAGCGGCGUCGCCAGGCGUCGUGGAGUCAACGUUGAAAUACCACCCUUUCUGUAUUCGGUGUCUAACUUCGCCAAGCGAAGGACAUUGUUUGAUGGGUAGUUUGACUGGGGUGGUCGCCUCCAAAAAGGUAACGGAGGCUUUCAAAGGUAAGCUCAAUACGCUUGGUAACCGUAUGAGGAGUGCAAUAGCAUAAGCUUGCUUGACUGUGAGGCAUACAAGCCGAGCAGGGUCGAAAGACGGAUAUAGUGAUCCGGUGGUUCUGCAUGGAAGGGCCAUCGCUCAAAGGAUAAAAGGUACGCUGGGGAUAACAGGCUGAUCUCCCCCAAGAGCUCAUAUCGACGGGGAGGUUUGGCACCUCGAUGUCGGCUCGUCACAUCCUGGGGCUGGAGAAGGUCCCAAGGGUUCGGCUGUUCGCCGAUUAAAGUGGCACGCGAGCUGGGUUCAGAACGUCGCGAGACAGUUCGGUCCCUAUCUGUUGUGGGCGUAGGAAUUUUGAGUGGGGCUGACCUUAGUACGAGAGGACCGGGUUGGACUAGCCUCUAGUGAAUCUGUUGUUCCGCCAGGGGCAUUGCAGAGUAGCUACGCUGGGAAUAGAUAAGCGCUGAAAGCAUCUAAGUGCGAAACUAGCCACGAGAUGAGAAUUCC